rnacentral:sRNA from 1 species
CUUCCCAGAGGGACUUUUUUUGGUGCGUGUGUGUGUGUGACGGAGUCCCGCUCUGUCGCCCAGGCAGGAGUGCAGUGGCAGAAUCUCGGCUCACUGCAAGCUCCGCCUCCCGGAUUCACGCCAUUCUCCUGCCUCAGCCCCCCAAGUAGCUGGGACUACAGGCUCCCGCCACCACGCCUGGCUAAUUUUUUGUAUUUUUUAGUAGAGACAGGGUUUCACCAUGCUAGCCAGGAUGGUCUCAAUCUCCGGACCUCAUGAUCCUCCCACCUCGGCCCCCCAAAGUGCUGGGAUUACAGGCAUAAGCCACCACGCCCGGCCCCCAGAUGGACUUUUAUCACUCAGCAAAAUUCUCUGGAGAUGCACCCAGGCUGUUGCAGGAACCAGCUGCGGGACCCUGGAGGGCAAGAGCUCAAUGGCACCACACCACCCUUCGGUGCUUGGAGCGUUGCAGACAGGCAAGGGGGGUCUAUCUGGUGUGUGAGGUCACAGGAAAGCCGACGAGCCAGUUACCCGACGAGACCCCGAGGCCACAGGCAGGGGACUUUACCUGCACGGCAAUCACAGACAAGACUUCCACUGAGAUGCGAUUAAACUCAUCAAAGCAGCCCCAGGCUCCCGUCUGGGCCAGGCCCUUGUAGAUAUUUCCACAGGACUGGAAAGGGCGAGAUGGAGAAUGGAAGAGCUGGGAGGCUGGGAGGGUGGCAGGGAGGGCGGGCGCUGCAGGGGCCUCCCCCUGCCUCUUCAGCUGUGUUCUCUCUCCCCAAAGCUUGCUCAGGCCCCGGUGCAUUGGGGCCUUCCUCAGGCCAGCAGGCAGGUCAGCUUACUGCCCAGGGUAACACCGUGGAGGGCUGGGUACUAGGAAGAGCCCAUCCUUUCACCCUUGACCCCCAGAGCGUCGAGACCCCAGGGUGGAGACUUCCUGGAGUCCCUAAUGAGGGGGCUCAGAGGAGCACAUUGAAGUUCUAAACCUCGCAUGUUUUCUCAGCCCUUUUCUUUCUUGCGUGGAGAGGAGAGGGAGUCCUCUAAGGUGGGAUGGGGGCAUGUCGAGCAGGCCAGAGGCUUUUCCUCAAGACAUCUGUGUCCCUCUAGGCCCCACCUGGGCAAUCAGAAGGACUCUUCCCAUCUACACCUGGGAUUCCAGGUGGAUGUUAACUCCCUUCUAGGGAGAUCCAACUUCAGAUUUCACUUUUCUAAAAUCCAGGAGGCGGAUGUGGACUGUGUGGCCUUGACAGUGAACUUGGGCUGCUUGCCCCAUCCUCAGCUUCAGGAGGGGUCCCCCAGAUUGUGGGGCUCAGAUCCAGGCCGGGGAGGGGAGACCCUCUGCAGGCCUAGGGUCCAAAACUCAGGGAUCCAUCCCCCUUGCCUCCCCAUCUUGCAAGAGGCUGCUGCAGCCUGGAGCUCCGAGGUAUCCCCUCCCUUGCCUGGCCUUCUGUGAGCUGACGAUGUCCUGUGCAGGCUCUGAUGACUGACGGGACUGGGCCCGUCCCCUGCUCCCCUCCCAAACCCACCUGGACAUUGCUUGUACCCCACCCCAUGCUGAACCAUGAGGAAGGUGCUUACCCCUGUGUGGAGUCCCCAGUUUGGGGCAGUCUUACAACUGAAAUUGAGAGAGGGUCACCUCCAGGGCAGGGGCUGGGGCAGGACAUUUGGGGCUGCGUCUGUCCACCCUGGGAGUCUCUCCAGAGGGACCACCUGAGAGGGAUGCUACCAGCAAGUGGGGGCCCUAGCGCCUCCUCCCCAGUGUCAUUCACAGGUAUCCAGAGAUCUGGAGUUCACUGUGGGGCCUCAGAGGACAGGGUGCUAGGAUCUGCUUCUAUAAUAGGGGACUCUGGGUCCCUUCUCCGGACCCCGGCUGCGUACCUUGUAGUCCAUCUGCUCGGAGCAGUUGAAGACGUAGACCAUGGUGCCCAGGGCUCUGCCCAGGUCCUUGGUCGUCUCAGUCUUACCAGUCCCAGCAGGGCCGGCGGGGGCUCCACCCAUGAUGAGAUGGAGGGACUGGGUCAGGGUGAUGUAGCACCUGCAAGUGACCACAGGUAAGUGCGUGUGCCAGUGACCCCACGGCCUCCCUGCUUUUAUUUUUUUGAGACAGAGUCUCACUCUGGCACCCAGGCUGGAGUGCAGUGGUACAACCUUGGCUCACUGCAACCUCUGCCUCCUGGGUUCAAAUGAUUCUCGUGCCUCAGCCUCUCAGGUAGCUGAGACUACAGGCGCCCGCCACCAUGCCCGGCUAAUUUUUGUAUUUUCAGUAGAGACGGGGUUUUGCCAUGUCGGCCAGGCUGGUCUCGAACUCCUGACCUCAGGUAAUCCACCCACCUCGGCCACCCAAAGUGUUGGGAUUACUGGCGUGAGCCACCACGCCCCGCCACAGCUUUCUCUUUCAUUGCAAUUAUUACACUUGCUCGGCCCCAGGAGACACAUGGGAGAGGGCAGAAAACCUUCAGGUGUGACAGAGGAACCACCACCGUGGAGCAGAGGCAGCCCAGGUGCCUUUCCCACCUGCGGCACUCAGGGAGGUGGGCACUGCUACGACGACCAGAGUCUGCUCAUGAGGGUCCAUAAAACAUGACCCCAACUCAGCAGGCCCACAGAGGGGUACAGGAACUCUCCCAAGGCCACACAGCCAGUGCUGGAACAAGGACACGGUGGCAGAACUGAAUGUGAACACAGGUCCACCUGACACAAAUGCCCAGUCCUUCCAGCCUCCACAGCUGACAUCCAAGUCGGACAGUUCCAAGAAUCAUGGGGAAGGGACCCACCAAGAGCACAUGUGAGUUACUCAGGGACAGGCCUCACCUGUCAGUGAGUGGGGUGAUGACCAGCCGCGGCGUGUUGCCCAGAUACUCGUAGGAAUACUGGAUUUGGGCAUCACAGAUGUUGGCAAAGCAGUGUCGCUUCUCUUCGUCCCAGCGAUGCCGGAGCUGGGCCUGCCAGGUAAAGGCCUGAGAACUCUCCACCUGCAGGAUGAGCCGGAGCUCUUGUUGCCAGGUGGAAUGCAAGAGCUAGGGCUGGCUAAGGAAGGCCAGCAUGCCUCCAAGGCCGGUCCCCUGGUGCCCAGGGAACCCUCCCCAGCCCUCUUUCCCCCUCCAGCGCCCACAUCCAACUGUAUGGCCACCCUCAGUGGAAUCUCGCUACGGAAUGGCACUUCCAAUGGGCGGGCACCGCUCAUCUGACUGCUGUGUGUUGCUCACCAGGGGUGAGUCCGGGCAAGGUGGUUAUGAGGCAGCUGCAGCCAGCAACAGAGUCAGUGCCCCAGGAGGAGGAAGUGGCAGGAUCUGGAGUCCCUGAAUGCACUGCCCUGAACCCGGUGUCCCCUUGCCCUUCCCCAGGACCCUGGGACAGGGGCGCUCAUGCCUUGGCCAUGAUCAUUUUGGCCACCACGUCCCGUGCAUGCACAUCGAUGGUGCAGAUGGUCAUGAUCUUAAUCCUGUCGCCAGCGUUGAGGUUCCCAAUGAGCAGUGUGAUGAGUACGUUCAGCUGGCUAAUCUGCGGGGGAGAGUGCCUUCGCUGAGACGCCACGGGGGCCCACAUGCACUAGGGGGUCUUGUGGCUGGGUGCCCACAGCUGCACAGGGAACACCACGAUGCUCUUGUUUACAGUAAUGAAAAACAGGAGUGCCCUCGGUAGGCCCCAGCCAGGCACUGGUUUCACCAGGGUGCAGCCCUGAUGGGACACCUUGCAGUGGCUAGCACGGACGUAGUAGAAGGAAAUUCAAGGCCACGAGAGAGGGUGGAUGAGAAGCAAAAACAGCUGACUUUAACGCCAUCCAGAGUCUGUAUAUUUUUACAUAUGAAUCAAUUAUACACACACACAGAGUGGCAGGUUGCAUAAGGGAACAGUGUCAUGCUUGGGUUGUGGAAUUACAGGUAAAUUCUCCUUCUUUUCAAGAUGAUCUUUAGUUUCCAUAUUUCUAACCAAGGACUUUUCUUUUUUAUUUAUUUAUUUAUUUUUUAAGACUCACAGUAGCAUUUGCCAAUUUUCAGGUGAGAAAUCAAAGUACAUAUUUCUGAAGGUGUCUGUUACUCGAGGGGAGAGGUGCCUGGGGCUGCGGUGCGUGGCUAUUAUUUGGCCUGUGGAAACGACGGUUUUGCGGGGCUCAGCCUCCCAGAAGAAGGCGCUCCAGGUACUCGCCCGGCAGGUUUCAGAAGGACACAUGGGGCCACACACCUGCUUCUUAAACAAGUUUUAAAAACAUAACUACACGCUAGUGACGCACCUGCUUUUUGUUAUAAUCUUUGAUAGCGUUUUCAUAGCCUUCCUCCAGCCUGGCAAAUGCCAGGCCCACCUCGGUCGUCCACCAGAUCUGGGUGCAAGUCAGGGCCACCUGAAAGUAGACGCCCCCCCAUUGCCCACGCAGUGAGCGAUCGCUGGCGCCAGCUAAUGCAGACGUUCCUGCUGAAAGCUUAGACGGUUUUCCAGGGAACCACAGUUAACAGGGGAGCCCGUGAACGCAGAGAAACUCGCCCCUUAUCUCAGCCACGAGGCACUGCCGAGCCCCCACCCGCCUCAGACCUGGGCCGGGUAGUCCAUGAUCCACUGCUCCCUCGGCUUCUCUUCGUAGGUCACCACGGCCUCUGGGAUUUCGUGCCGGAGGGUGGAGCACAUUCGGUCCAGCACUCGAUUCAGCCACACCUCCACCUGGGGACGGGAGCCACAGUGACCAAUACAGCCAUGUGUGCCUGC